CCCUUAGAUGUCCUGGGCCGCACGCGCGCUACACUGAUGCAUGCAACGAGUUUAUAACCUUGGCCUGAAAGGUCUGGGUAAUCUUUUGAACGUGCAUCGUGAUAGGGAUAGAUUAUUGCAAUUGUUAAUCUUGAACGAGGAAUUCCUAGUAAACGCGAGUCAUCAGCUCGCAUUGAUUACGUCCCUGCACUUUGUACACACCGCCCGUCGCACCUACCGAUUGAAUGGUUCGGUGAAGAUCUCGGACUUCGAUAUUUAUUCUUUAUUGAGUUUAUAUUGUGGGAAGUUAUCUAAACCUCAUCAUUUAGAGGAAGGUGAAGUCGUAACA
rnacentral:rRNA from 1 species